AAAUACAUGUGCUUUGUUUAUUAGAAUAAUUAAGGACAUCACACACAAGUUUGGUGAGUUUUUGUUUGAAUUAAUCGGCAUUGACAAUUAUGAGUACAAGAUUAGGUGUCAUCCCACCGACGAUUGGAAAAACCAGUGUGAAAACAGGAAGUUGCUGUAGGGCUUAUUUUCAUUAAUCUGAAAAUGGAGCAGCUGUGGACUUUGAAAUGGUCAAUAUACAUACAAUACGCUUCAUUUCCAAUGAAGAUCACCAGGAAGGAGGACUGAAGACCUCAUAAUUUUAUGCAGAAGAAGAUGAAUCUCUCCUCCCUUUUCCGUUCCUUGCUGGUGGUUUGCUUCAUCGUUGCUUUCUUUGCCUUGCAGCUGGAUUUGGUCACUGCAGGUCCUGUGAGGAAGCUGAAAGAAAGAGAAGUUCCCACUCCGCCACCGCCAAUUGCCAACCAGGGGAGCCCAUAGCCGGCCAUGGUUGAAACCAUGGAGGAGGCCUUUGGCAGGAGAGUCUGUUAAGGUCAAAUUUUAAUUUAUUAAUGGUAAUUACGUAUUGGAAAUAAUACAUGCAUGGAUUCAUUGGGCAGUUGCUGAAAUGUUUUGAUGCUUAAUUUGGUGUGCUGGGCUUCUGUGUUCUUGUGAUGGCAAAAGGGGUGCUUAUGAUUCUUAGAAAUAAUGGACCGACAAGAGAUUGAUUAGUAAUAUCUUAUGGAAUUUUGAUUUA